rnacentral:rRNA from 1 species
UGGGGAAUUUUGGACAAUGGGCGAAAGCCUGAUCCAGCGAUGCCGCGUGUGUGAAGAAGGCCUUCGGGUUGUAAAGCACUUUUGUCCGGAAAGAAAUCCUUGGCUCUAAUACAGUCGGGGGAUGACGGUACCGGAAGAAUAAGCACCGGCUAACUACGUGCCAGCAGCCGCGGUAAUACGUAGGGUGCAAGCGUUAAUCGGAAUUACUGGGCGUAAAGCGUGCGCAGGCGGUUUGCUAAGACCGAUGUGAAAUCCCCGGGCUCAACCUGGGAACUGCAUUGGUGACUGGCAGGCUAGAGUAUGGCAGAGGGGGGUAGAAUUCCACGUGUAGCAGUGAAAUGCGUAGAGAUGUGGAGGAAUACCGAUGGCGAAGGCAGCCCCCUGGGCCAAUACUGACGCUCAUGCACGAAAGCGUGGGGAGCAAACAAGAUUAGAUACCCUGGUAGUCCACGCCCUAAACGAUGUCAACUAGUUGUUGGGGAUUCAUUUCCUUAGUAACGUAGCUAACGCGUGAAGUUGACCGCCUGGGGAGUACGGUCGCAAGAUUAAAACUCAAAUGAAUUGACGGGGUCAUAGCUGUUUCCU